rnacentral:rRNA from 1 species
GAUGAACGCUGGCGGCGUGCCUAAUACAUGCAAGUCGAGCGAACGGACGAGAAGCUUGCUUCUCUGAUGUUAGCGGCGGACGGGUGAGUAACACGUGGAUAACCUACCUAUAAGACUGGGAUAACUUCGGGAAACCGGAGCUAAUACCGGAUAAUAUUUUGAACCGCAUGGUUCAAAAGUGAAAGACGGUCUUGCUGUCACUUAUAGAUGGAUCCGCGCUGCAUUAGCUAGUUGGUAAGGUAACGGCUUACCAAGGCAACGAUGCAUAGCCGACCUGAGAGGGUGAUCGGCCACACGGGAACUGAGACACGGUCCAGACUCCUACGGGAGGCAGCAGCAGGGAACCUUCCGCAAUGGGGGAAAGCCUGACGGAGCAACGCCGCGUGAGUGAUGAAGGUCUUCGGAUCGUAAAACUCGGUUAUUGGGGAAGAACAUAUGUGUAAGUAACUGUGCACAUCUUGACGGUACUUAAUAAGAAAGCCACGGCUAACUACGUG